UCUUNCGGAGCAACUGCCGCGUGAUGUGAUGAAGGUUUUCUGGAUCUGUAAAGCUCUGUUGCCAGGGAAGAACGUCCGGUAGAGUAACUGCUGUCGGAGUGACGGUACCUGAGAAAAAAGCCCCGGCUAACUACGUGCCAGCAGCCGCGGUAAUACGUAGGGGGCAAGCGUUGUCCGGAAUUAUUGGGCGUAAAGCGCGCGCA
rnacentral:rRNA from 1 species